GUAGUCAUAUGCUUGUCUCAAAGAUUAAGCCAUGCAUGUCUAAGUAUAAAUAAAUUUAUAUUGUGAAACUGCGAAUGGCUCAUUAAAUCAGUUAUGAUCUACGUGUCAUAUUCUUUACUACUUGGAUAACCGUGGUAAUUCUAGAGCUAAUACAUGCAAAAAAGCCCUGACUUCGGAAGGGGUGCACUUAUUAGAUAAAGCCAACGCUGGGUAAAACCAGUUUCCCUUGGUGAUUCAUAAUAAUUAAGCGGAUCGCAUGGCCUUGUGCUGGUGACGGUCCACUCGAUUUUCUGCCCUAUCAUGGUUGAGAUUGUAAGAUAGAGGCUUACAAUGCCUACAACGGGUAACGGGGAAU
rnacentral:rRNA from 1 species